rnacentral:lncRNA from 1 species
GUAGGGGUGCCAAUUGUGAUAUUUCCUAUAUAGAUGAAAAGUAAAUGAAAAAUUAUAAUUAUUAUAUUUUUUAAUUUAAAUCAGAUUAUGCAUAUAUUUUUAUAUAUUUUAGAUCAUUAAAAUAUUAUAUUUGAUAUAUUGUUUGACACACGAUCUAAAAUUUAAUUUCUAUAAAAUUCUAGAUCUAAAACCCUAGGCUUUAUUUGCAUGAGAGCAUGAAACUGUGACUGA